ACCACACCGCCGCCCCACGCCCUACUCAGUACUCACCACCACCUCUUGGCCACCGAACCACCACCACCCACCGGUCGUCCGACGAGCCGUCUUGCCGUUGAGCCCGACAAGCUGUCGCGCCGUCCGCGCUGCCGCUCACCUCCGAGAGCCACCUCCCUUGACACCGCCGCUGGACGCCGUCACCCCUCGCUUGCCUCGCCGCUCAGUCACUUGCCGUCGACGCCGCUGUUAGACGUUGCUCGUCCCCGCGGUGGAGGCUGCUCGCUCGCCCAGCCGCCCCAAUGCCGCUCGCUGCUCGCCCAACCGCCCUAACGCUGCUCGCUUGCCACUCGCCCAGUCGCCUCGAAGCCGCUCGCCGCUCGCCCAGUCGCCCCGACGCCGCUCGCCGCUCGCCCAGCCACCUAAUGAGCCUUAACUCCACACCCCUUCGCCUCCGCCUCCACCUCCACCUCCACCUCCACCUCCAGCUCAGUCGCACCCCCACUCUCUCUCUCCUUCUGCCUGUCUGGUCGGGGGCAACGCGGGACGCCCUUGGAGACUCCGGCGGGGGCCUACCGGCUGAUCGACGACGAGACGAUCCCAACAAAUGGAGCUGGUUUGAUUGAGUAUAUAUGCCAUCCUUUCUGGUCCUAGAAGUACUGUCCGUCGCAUGAGCAUGACAACACAGCUCGAUGUUGUAGUUGCGAGCAAUUGGAGUCGUGGAACACAACAUACAUAUCUUUGGGAGAUGGACGAAGUUUAUGCCUCGAGUGCAUGGAAUCUGCUAUCAUGGACACUAGUGACUGUCAACCACUUUAUCAUGCGAUCAGAGACUACUAUGAAGGAAUGAACAUGAAAUUGGAUCAGCAAAUUCCAUUGCUUUUGGUUGAAUGAGGUUUGGGUUUUCUUUCAAAGUUGGCGCGCCAUUCCUGAUGCUAGUUUUCUGCAGGGCCACCAUCACAUGCCUGAGACAAGAGGUUUAUGUCUUUCCGAGGAGCAAACUGUGUCCAGUGUUCACCCAGACUUGGAGGCCACAGGCUUGUUGGAAUGAAAACUCAACCCCAGAAAUUGACAAGGAAAUGCGAAGUUACAGCCAUUCUUGUUCUUUAUGGUCUACCAAGGAAAAAUGCAGAUCAUGUGAGGUCGGUUAUUGCUUCUUUGGUUAAAGGUGCCUAUGUCUUAGAGCGGGACCGCCGGGGGAAACGUGAAGGUUCCCAGGCUCUUGCACCUCCUUGGUGGGAAACUUUCGGUUUUCAGUUGAAGCGCAUACUCGUAGAUGGGGCUGACUCUUCUAUCUUCGGUGCCAUCUUCGGGUAUAAGCCUCUGCCAUCCUCAUGUAACCACUCAGCAGAUGGACCGUGUUUCGUGGUCGCCUUCCAUGUUCACGAAAGAAUCAUUCUUUCGAGAUAUUGAGCUGGAUGUUCGAAUUUUCUGGAAUGAGCUUCACUCCUCGUCUCGCUGCAAGACUGCCAUGCAGGCAGUAGAAGACUCUUGUGGCUUCUUCAAGAAUUCUUCUUCGGCGGUUUACGAAGUGACGCUGCAGCACACUUCUCUUUGGCUUCUUAUUAUUAUAUUAGGUGUUGUGUUCCAACAAAGACUCGGUUGCAGCCGCCGGCAAUUCUAAGGUGGUCUGGUUAGCUGGCCACUCCCUGGGGUCUGCCAUUGCUCUGGAAGCUGGAAAUAACAUGGCCAAAAAGGGAUAUUAUCUCGAGUCUUUCCUCUUCAACCCGCCUUAUGCAUCUGUUCCGAUCGAGAAGAUCAAGAGCAAGAUCUGGAAGCGGGCUUUCCAGUUAGCCGAAAGCGGGUUAUGUGCUGCAGCGGCGCUAGCUAAACAGUCUCCGGAACAGCUGAAACAAUCCGCUGAUUCUUUUGUGGCUUUGUCCCGUUGGGUUCCUCAGCUGUUUGUCAACAAGGCUGAUUGCGUCUGCUCGGGAUACAUUGGCUAUUUCGAGCACGGAAAGUGGAUGCAAAAGUUCAGAUUAGGAGGUAUCCGCAAGAUUGCUAGUCGUUAUUCUGUGAUAUUGCUGUUCAUGAGCGAGAAUGGGACGCAGGCAGAGCCUUUGCACCUCAUCCCAUCGGCAAAUCUAUCGAUCCAUUCAAAGCCGCCGAAGUCUUUCCUGAGGGCGCAUGGUAUUAGCGAAUGGUGGAAGCUGGACCUGGAGCUGGAGUCCGAAGUUUACAAGCAUGAGUACUAGUAUUGGCGGUAUCGUCGGACUGUUAUUUCUCGUCGCUUAUGCGCGUGGAUCUGAUGACGCGAUUGAACUUGCCCAGGCCAUUGGAUACACAGUUCUGUUGCUCUCCGUGUGCUGAAUUGUUCGUGUGCGGAUUGAUGUUGCCUGGACCUGUUGUGUGGCGCAUUUUCUUUUUACUGCAUUUCAUAUGUUUGGAAGUGACAGGUGUGCUUUCAGUUUGUUUGUCUGUGUGUGUGGGAGAGAGUCAGUCCUCUUGUCAUUUUUCAGUUUGGAGAUUGAAGCAAUGUUAUCUGCCAUUUGUUGUGGUUGGGAGUAGAC